CACGAGAAAUUCAAAAAGCGAAGAAUGGUUUCGACCCAUUUAUUGGGUACACAUACCCUCUUGUGU
rnacentral:tRNA from 1 species